GAUGAACGCUGGCGGCGUGCCUAAUACAUGCAAGUCGAGCGAACGGACGAGAAGCUUGCUUCUCUGAUGUUAGCGGCGGACGGGUGAGUAACACGUGGAUAACCUACCUAUAAGACUGGGAUAACUUCGGGAAACCGGAGCUAAUACCGGAUAAUAUGUUGAACCGCAUGGUUCAAAAGUGAAAGACGGUCUUGCUGUCACUUAUAGAUGGAUCCGCGCUGCAUUAGCUAGUUGGUAAGGUAACGGCUUACCAAGGCAACGAUGCAUAGCCGACCUGAGAGGGUGAUCGGCCACACUGGAACUGAGACACGGUCCAGACUCCUACGGGAGGCAGCAGUAGGGAAUCUUCCGCAAUGGGCGAAAGCCUGACGGAGCAACGCCGCGUGAGUGAUGAAGGUCUUCGGAUCGUAAAACUCUGUUAUUAGGGAAGAACAUAUGUGUAAGUAACCGUGCACGUCUUGACGGUACCUAAUCAGAAAGCCACGGCUAACUACGUG
rnacentral:rRNA from 1 species